rnacentral:rRNA from 1 species
AACGAACGCUGGCGGCAGGCUUAACACAUGCAAGUCGAACGCAUCGCAAGAUGAGUGGCAGACGGGUGAGGAACACGUGGGAACAUCCCUUUCAGUUCGGAAUAACGCAGGGAAACUUGAGCUAAUACCGGAUACGUCCGUGAGGAGAAAGAUUUAUCGCUGAAAGAUUGGCCCGCGUCUGAUUAGCUAGUUGGUGAGGUAAUGGCUCACCAAGGCUACGAUCAGUAGCUGAUCUGAGAGGAUGAGCAGCCACAUUGGGACUGAGACACGGCCCAAACUCCUACGGGAGGCAGCAGUGGGGAAUAUUGGACAAUGGGCGCAAGCCUGAUCCAGCCAUGCCGCGUGAGUGAUGAAGGCCUUCGGGUUGUAAAGCUCUUUUGUCCGGGAAGAUAAUGACUGUACCGGAAGAAUAAGCCCCGGCAAACUUCGUGCCAGCCGCCGCCGUAA